rnacentral:rRNA from 1 species
CCGUAAACGAUGUCGACUUGGAGGUUGUGCCCUUGAGGCGUGGCUUCCGGAGCUAACGCGUUAAGUCGACCGCCUGGGGAGUACGGCCGCAAGGUUAAAACUCAAAUGAAUUGACGGGGGCCCGCACAAGCGGUGGAGCAUGUGGUUUAAUUCGAUGCAACGCGAAGAACCUUACCUGGUCUUGACAUCCACGGAAGUUUUCAGAGAUGAGAAUGUGCCUUCGGGAACCGUGAGACAGGUGCUGCAUGGCUGUCGUCAGCUCGUGUUGUGAAAUGUUGGGUUAAGUCCCGCAACGAGCGCAACCCUUAUCCUUUGUUGCCAGCGGUCCGGCCGGGAACUCAAAGGAGACUGCCAGUGAUAAACUGGAGGAAGGUGGGGAUGACGUCAAGUCAUCAUGGCCCUUACGACCAGGGCUACACACGUGCUACAAUGGCGCAUACAAAGAGGAGCGACCUCGCGAGAGCAAGCGGACCUCAUAAAGUGCGUCGUAGUCCGGAUUGGAGUCUGCAACUCGACUCCAUGAAGUCGGAAUCGCUAGUAAUCGUGGAUCAGAAUGCCAC